rnacentral:rRNA from 1 species
UGAAUGACGGGACCCGCACAAGCGGUGGAUGAUGUGGAUUAAUUCGAUGCGACGCGAAAACCUUACCUACCCUUGACAUGCCUGGAACUUGGUAGAGAUACCUUGGUGCCUUCGGAGCCAGGACACAGGUGCUGCAUGGCUGUCGUCAGCUCGUGUCGUGAGAUGUUGGGUUAAGUCCCGCAACGAGCGCAACCCUUGCCACUAAUUGCCAUCAUUUAGUUGGGCACUUUAGUGGGACUGCCGGUGACAAACCGGAGGAAGGUGGGGAUGACGUCAAGUCCUCAUAGCCCUUAUGGGUAGGGCUUCACACGUCAUACAAUGGUCGGUACAGAGGGUUGCCAAGCCGCGAGGUGGAGCGAAUCCCAGAAAACCUGUCUCAGUCCGGAUUGAAGUCUGCAACUCGACUUCAUGAAGGCGGAAUCGCUAGUAACCGCGAAUCAGCAGGUCGCGGUGAAUACGUUCCCGGGCCUU